rnacentral:rRNA from 1 species
AGUGAACGCUGGCGGUAGGCCUAACACAUGCAAGUCGAACGGCAGCACAGUAAGAGCUUGCUCUUACGGGUGGCGAGUGGCGGACGGGUGAGGAAUACAUCGGAAUCUACUUUUUCGUGGGGGAUAACGUAGGGAAACUUACGCUAAUACCGCAUACGACCUACGGGUGAAAGCAGGGGAUCUUCGGACCUUGCGCGAUUGAAUGAGCCGAUGUCGGAUUAGCUAGUUGGCGGGGUAAAGGCCCACCAAGGCGACGAUCCGUAGCUGGUCUGAGAGGAUGAUCAGCCACACUGGAACUGAGACACGGUCCAGACUCCUACGGGAGGCAGCAGUAGGGAAUAUUGGGCAAUGGGCGCAAGCCUGAUCCAGCCAUACCGCGUGGGUGAAGAAGGCCUUCGGGUUGUAAAGCCCUUUUGUUGGGAAAGAAAAGCAGCAGAUUAAUACCCCGCUGUUCUGACGGUACCCAAAGAAUAAGCACCGGCUAACUUCGUG